rnacentral:misc_RNA from 1 species
GAAAUGCGAUAAGUAAUGUGAAUUGCAGAAUUCAGUGAAUCAUCGAAUCUUUGAACGCACCUUGCGCUCCUUGGUAUUCCUUGGAGCAUGCCUGUUUGAGUAUCAUGAAAUCUUCAAAGUAAAUCUUUUGUUAACUCAAUUGGUUUCUACUUUGUUAUUGGAGGUCUUUGCAGCUUCACACCUGCUCCUCUUUGUUCAUUAGCUGGAUCUCAGUGUUAUGCUUGGUUCCACUCGGCGUGAUAAGUUAUCUAUCGCUGAGGACACUGUAAAAGGUGGCCAAGGUAAAUGCAGAUGAACCGCUUCUAAUAGUCCAUUGACUUGGACAAUACUUUUAUGAUCUGAUCUCAAAUCAGGUAGGACUAUCCGCUGAACUUAAGC